ensembl:lncRNA novel transcript
GGUAUCCCUGAAGGUGUCAAGCCUCAGUGCAAAUCCCUCUCGUUUCUACGAAAAGCGUUCUGUAAACAUGUGAAAUACAUGUAUUAUUAUAGGGACAAGCAAAUCAGUAAACAUGUUGUAGGAGAUGGCAGCAGAAGGAGCUACGAUUAUGGAAAGAAGAGAGGAUGAGAGGAACCCUGUGAUACUGGAUAGCAAUUGGAGAGAUCAGAAUUGGAAAAAACUACUUUAAACUUCAUAUGGAAACAAAAAAGAGCCUGCAUAGCCAAGACAAUCCUGGGCAAGAAGAACAAAGCUGGAGGCAUCACACUACCUGACUUCAAACUAUACUACAAUGCUUCAGUAACCAAAACAUCAUGGUACUGGUACCAAAACAGAUAUAUAGACCAAAGGAACAGAACGCAGACCUCAGAAAUAACACCACACAGCUACAACCAUCUGAUCUGUGAGAAACCUGACACACACAAGUAAGAGGGAAAAGAUUCCCUAUUUAAAAAAUGGUGUUGGGAAAACUGGCUAGCCAUAUGCAGAAAACUGAAACUGAACCCCUUCCUUACACCUGUUAUGAAAAUCAACUAAAGAUGGAUCAAAGACUUACACAUAAGACCUAGGACCAUAAAAAUCCUAGAAGAAAACCUGGGCAAUACCAUUCAGGACAUAGACAUGGGCAAAUAUUUCAUAUCUAAAACACCAAAAGCAAUGGCUACAAAAGCCAAAGUUGACAAAUGGGAUCUAAUUAAACCAAAGAGUUUCUGCACAGCAAAAGAAACUAUCAUCAGAGUGUACAGGCAACCUACAGAAUGGGAUAAAAUUUUUGCAACCUAUCCAUCUGACAAAGG